rnacentral:rRNA from 1 species
CAGUAGCCACGGGAAUACGUAGGUGGCAAGCGUUGUCCGGAAUUAUUGGGCGUAAAGGGCUCGCAGGCGGUUUCUUAAGUCUGAUGUGAAAGCCCCCGGCUCAACCGGGGAGGGUCAUUGGAAACUGGGCAACUUGAGUGCAGAAGAGGAGAGUGGAAUUCCACGUGUAGCGGUGAAAUGCGUAGAGAUGUAGAGGAACACCAGUGGCGAAGGCGACUCUCUGGUCCGUAACUGACGCUGAGGAGCGAAAGCGUGGGGAGCGAACAGGAUUAGAUACCCCCGUAGUCCCUGUCUCUUAUAC